rnacentral:lncRNA from 1 species
UCCGAUAAAAGAAACAAAAUACAUGUUCUAAACAUCUAUUCUUAAUAUUACACCAACUCAAAACAAAAGAUUCAACCGUCUCAAAAUACAAAGGGAACCAUGACUGCAAUAUAUACCCACAAUGAUGGAUCUUCCCAAAAUAACUUUCUAAUUCAAUUCAAUCACUCUUCAACCUCCAACUCCUGUAAGGAAAACAAAGCUAAAGGGUUGAGCUAAAACUCAAUGAGGUUUGUCGAGCAAGUAACAUUUAAUAAACACUUAAAUCAGUACAACUAAGCAAGUAGUGCACAUUUCACUGUACAAUCACUUUCAUUAAGCAAUUGAGAAAACACUUCACUGAACAAUCACUUUUAAAAGGAUACGGUGCUCGCAUUAGAGCCACUUCAAUGUCAUUGAGCAUUCAUUUAGUGUCAAAAGACACUCAUUUCACUGUCAUUGUACAUUCAUUUCAAUAUCAUUGCAUUCACUCGACCAAUUCACCUUCUUAUAUCCUCAAAAACAAUAAAUAAUCCCCUACAUUCAAUAAUCAGUUCAAUAAUCUCCCAACCUCACGAUAAUACUCGAGUAUACCGAAACAUUUACCCAAAGCUACCGUCCUACCUGACCAAACCCUUUGUUGGCUCGAAUAGUCCGUUGAACAGAGGGUUUUGGGACCCAGUUCAGCCAAUGCGGCGAGGCACACAUACAGCUUACAUUCAUGCACACUUAUAGUAACAUUCAGUCAAUUAUCGACCUUCAAGCUCAACUAAGUCGAGUGCGAUAAAGUACACCAUCGACUUUAGAAGGCGAGGGACAAUUGAGAUACACUUUGAAAUGAAUCACUUAGCAAUAUUUCAUAAUAAGUGCAUUUGUCACAUAAUUUCACUUAAUUACACAUAAAUUCGGAAACACUCACUCCAGUCAAAAGUUACACUUCGGUCUCGGGAUUGCUUUCUUGCACCCCAUUGUCUCCUGAGACUAGGUUAUAACUCUAAAGUGAAUAUACAAUUCGUAUAUGGUCACUUAUUAUUUGUUACCUCAUGAUUUAAACUAUUAAAGUCAAGUUUUGGCUUUAAAAUACAAGAUAUAACAUCUAUCUUACAUUUUAUCUCUGCUUAUCAACUUUAUCUUUUUAAUCUAAAGAAAUAUACAUAUAUUCCAAGUUUAAAGUCUUGUAAGAGGUUUAAAACGAUUCUCUAUUCAAUAUUCAAGAAUUAAAGCAAGUGAACUUUUCAUUUGUUCCAUUUAAGCUAAACCAGAUUCUAAGUUGUUUGUAGUUUAGGGUUUCUUCAAAUUUUCUAGCCUUUCAAGUUUUAGGUUCAUUAAAAUGUUCAUAAAAGCAUAUUCAAGAUGUUAUAAGGUGCUCCAUAUAGAAUCUCAACCAAUUGACCUAAGUUUUUCGAAAAUCUUUUAAGAAUUUCACUUCCUCUAACACUCGGUCAGCAAGGCAAGAAUUCCAGCUCAACAUUUCAAAAUAUUUAACAAAAUUCUACCUUUUUCUUGCUUAAAACAAUAAUUACUGAGUAUACAUUCUGUCCAGCAUAAAUCAAGGCAAAUACCACAGAGUUUCAACAAGUUAUUCGAUCGAAAGUCACACACAAAAUCUGUCAUCAGCAAUUGCAUUAGUCAUUAACUCUUUUCUAGCAAUAUAGCAGCUUGGUUUACAGCUUUUUCCUCCCUAAUUUCUUCGGUUUCAACUCCAGUUCAUCAUGCAAGAGGUAGUUUUCAAGUUACCGAGUAGCCUUAACCAGCACACAUAAAAGUUCACAGUUAAGAUUUCGAAGGAAGGCUGAUCAGAAACUUAUUUCUCUCUUUCGACCAUGAUGGACAAAUCUUUGGGCAGCAGAUUGAGCUCAUUCUUUCUUCCAUGUUCACUUUAGUUUCAAUUCAUUUCUGUCUUACUUGUUGAAGUUAAGAGACUUAAGACAUGUUACAGCUUACUCCACUAGUUUAGGAGCUACGGUUUGCAAGGAACAUCCAGGAUUUCUUAUCUUUUCUUUCUCGGUCGAAGCCAACAGGUUCCAGCAGGUUUAUUUGACAUUUCCAGGCAAGAUUACCAAUGUUUUUACUAGCUUUGCAAAUAAAUAUCCUAUAAGAUCAGAGAUAAACAUAUUCCAUGCAAUCCUAGCAUAAUUCUCCAUAGAAAAUUCAGAUAACCAGCUGUAACUCAAGCAAACAACUCUCGGUUAUCACAGUUUUCCCUUCCCUUCAACUUUUAACCAUUUUAAAUUUCAGUUCCAGCCACAAGUCACACACCCACAGGCUCCUAACACACAAAUAAGUAUAAAACCAGCAUUUUCCAGCAAACUAUAUACCAAAAUAUCCACUCAACUCCAAGAAAUUCCAUCGGUUAAGCUGGAAAAUGUUAUAACAGUCAUGCGAUAUCCUACUCCAAACUCCAGCCAUUAAAAUUAGAUUUUUCACCAUGAAUUUCACAUGCAACUCCAGAUAAUGAAUAUACUAAUAUAUUUCAUGAGUUCAAGUAUAUUUACUCUUGAUCAAGCACGAAAAUUGAAAGGAAACUGCCUUUACAUUACAUCGGUCCAAGCUGGUAAAUUUCUAGCAAGAAAACAAGUUCUACUACCUGGUUUUACUUCAAUCCAACCUCAAAUAUUACAUGCAUCAGAAUUCCUCUAAAAUAUAUAUAUAUAUGGUGAUGGUUUCUAGCUAUAUUACCUGGUUUUUCUACCCAAACUCAAGCUGGAAAUCAGUUCACCCUUCUACCUUCUCCUCGGCUGGAAAUGGAACAAGAAUUUCUGGUUCCUUUUGGCUGCAAAUGGAGUGGGAACUCUGGUUUUCUCUCUUGGCUGAAGUAGAAACAAGAGCUUUGUUUUCUCUCUUUCUCAAGUCUUUCUCUCGGUUGGAAGAUGAAGCAAGGCAGGAAGAGAAAUUUUCUCAACUCCCUCAGCUCUCUCUUGUGUUUUGAAGGGAAGGAAGUCAAAUGCUAAGUCUCUCUUCUCCUCUCGGAUGAAGCUGGAAAAAUUCCAGCAAGUUUCUUCCAACGGUUCCAACCUAAAUCUCUAUCUUUUCACAAGUUUCUACAGCUAAAGCUCUUAUAAAACUUAAGGUAAAUGUAUAACAUGCAUUUCCUAUCAUUAUUCUCCAAAGAAACAUUGAUAACAAACUGUAAUUUCCAGUUUUCAUUCCCCAUUUCAGCAGUUUUCUUUCCAGCUGCAAUUCGGUUCUAUUGCCGACUGCUCUAGCUUCAGCUUCGGUUCCUCAAGGUUUGCACGAAACUCUCUCUUUCUUUCUUCCCUGCUUCACUCUCACACUCGGUUGAGGCUGAUAAGGAAGAAUGGAACCAGAGAUGCUCUCACUCUCACUUUUUUCUCGACUUUUUGGUAUGAAAAGGAAGAAAGCAUCGGUUCCUUAUCAAUCACUCUGUUUUCCUUUUCUUUUGGUUUCCUCUCGGUUUUAUUGAUUAAGAAUGACCAGACUAUUUCUUUUCGGUGGCUAGUGGCAGACAAGAACAAAUAAGGUGAGCUUCUCUCGGUUCCUCCGCCUAAACCAACUCCAAUUCACA